rnacentral:rRNA from 1 species
ACUCAAAUGAAUAGACGGGGGCCCGCACAAGCGGUGGAGUAUGUGGUUUAAUUCGACGCAACGCGAAGAACCUUACCAACCUUUGACAUGUCCAGUAUGGAUUUAGGAGACUAGGUCCUUCAGUUCGGCUGGCUGGAACACAGGUGCUGCAUGGCUGUCGUCAGCUCGUGUCGUGAGAUGUUGGGUUAAGUCCCGCAACGAGCGCAACCCUCAUCUUUAGUUGCCAUCAGGUCAGGCUGGGCACUCUAAAGAAACCGCCGGUGACAAGCCGGAGGAAGGUGGGGAUGACGUCAAGUCCUCAUGGCCCUUACAGGUUGGGCUACACACGUACUACAAUGGUGGUGACAGUGGGUUGCGAAGCCGCGAGGUGGAGCCAAUCCCCAAAAACCAUCUCAGUUCAGAUUGCUCUCUGCAACUCGGGAGCAUGAAGUUGGAAUCGCUAGUAAUCGCAGAUCAGCACGCUGCGGUGAAUACGUUCCCGGGCCUUGCACACACCGCCCGU